rnacentral:rRNA from 1 species
UUGGAGGGCAAGUCUGGUGCCAGCAGCCGCGGUAAUUCCAGCUCCAAUAGCGUAUAUUAAAGUUGUUGCAGUUAAAAAGCUCGUAGUUGAAUUUCGGGGUCAGUAGGUUGGUCGUGCCACUGGUAUGUACUGGUCUCACUGAUUCCUCCUUCCUGAUGAGCUGUAAUGCCAUUAAUUUGGUGUUGCAGGGAAUCUGGACUGUUACUUUGAAAAAAUUAGAGUGUUUAAAGCAGGCUAACGCUUGAAUACAUUAGCAUGGAAUAAUGAAAUAGGACGUUCGAUCCUAUUUUGUUGGUUUCUAGGAUUGACGUAAUGAUUAAUAGGGAUAGUUGGGGGCAUUAGUAUUCAAUUGUCAGAGGUGAAAUUCUUGGAUUUAUUGAAGACUAACUACUGCGAAAGCAUUUGCCAAGGAUGUUUUCAUUAAUCAGGAACGAAAGUUAGGGGAUCGAAGACGAUCAGAUACCGUCGUAGUCUUAACCAUAAACUAUGCCGACUAGGGAUCGGAUGAUGUUAAUUUUUUAAUGACUCAUUCGGCGCCUUACGGGAAAC